rnacentral:ncRNA from 1 species
UUGUCUUUACGGGGGAGCUGAUAAUGGAUUCGGCUGAGAUAAGUAUGUUUACUUAAAACCCCAAGGGAUGCUUCUCAUUCCAUGGAAUGCAAUAUUCCAUAUACCUGAUCUGGGUAAUGCCAGCGUAGGAAAGUACAAUGUCAUGCUGC